rnacentral:rRNA from 1 species
UACGUAGGGAGCGAGCGUUGUCCGGAAUCAUUGGGCGUAAAGAGCGUGUAGGCGGCCUUUUAAGUCCUGCGUGAAAUCCUGCGGCUCAACCGCAGACGGUCGUGGGAAACUGGAAGGCUAGAGUGCGGGAGAGGAGGGUGGAAUUCCCGGUGUAGCGGUGAAAUGCGCAGAUAUCGGGAAGAACACCCGUGGCGAAGGCGGCUCUCUGGAACGCAACUGACGCUGAGACGCGAAAGCGUGGGGAGCAAACAGG